rnacentral:rRNA from 1 species
AUACGUAGAGAGCAAGCGUUAUCCGGAUUUAUUGGGUGUAAAGGGUGCGUAGACGGAGUAGCAAGUUGGUUGUGAAAUCCCUCGGCUUAACUGAGGAACUGCAACCAAAACUACUACCCUUGAGUGUUGGAGAGGAAAGUGGAAUUCCUAGUGUAGCGGUGAAAUGCGUAGAUAUUAGGAGGAACACCAGUGGCGAAGGCGACUUUCUGCAAAAUAACUGACGUUGAGGCACGAAAGUGUGGGGAGCAAACAGGAUUAGAUACCCUGGUAAUCCACACCGUAAACGAUGGAUACUAGGUGUAGGGUGUGAUAAACAUUCUGUGCCGCCGCUAACGCAGUAAGUAUCCCACCUGGGGAGUACGGCCGCAAGGUUGAAACUCAAAGGAAUUGACGGGG